rnacentral:rRNA from 1 species
GAUGAACGCUGGCGGCGUGCCUAACACAUGCAAGUCGAGCGAAGCACUCUACUCGAUUUCUUCGGGAUGAAGGUUUAGUGACUGAGCGGGCGACGGGUGAGGUACACGUAGGUAACCUGCCCAUGUGCCCGGGAUAAUUUCUGGAAACGGAAACUAAAACCGGAUAGGUAGGGAUCUCGCAUGAGGACCUUAUUAAAGGGGCUGCGGCCCUGAACAUGGAUGGACCUGCGGUGCAUUAGCUGGUUGGUGGGGUAACGGCCUACCAAGGCGACGAUGCAUAGCCGACCUGAGAGGGCGAACGGCCACAUUGGGACUGAGACACGGCCCAG